GAUGAACGCUGGCGGCGUGCCUAAUACAUGCAAGUCGAGCGAACAGACGAGGAGCUUGCUCCUCUUACGUUAGCGGCGGACGGGUGAGUAACACGUGGAUAACCUACCUAUAAGACUGGGAUAACUUCGGGAAACCGGAGCUAAUACCGGAUAAUAUAUUGAACCGCAUGGUUCAAUAGUGAAAGACGGUUUUGCUGUCACUUAUAGAUGGAUCCGCGCCGCAUUAGCUAGUUGGUAAGGUAACGGCUUACCAAGGCGACGAUGCGUAGCCGACCUGAGAGGGUGGACGGCCACACUGGAACUGAGACACGGUCCAGACUCCGACGGGGAGCAGCAGUAGGGAAUCUUCCGCAAGGGACGAGAGCCUGACGGAGCAACGCCGCGUGAGUGAUGAAGGUCUUCGGAUCGUAAAACUCUGUUAGUAGGGAAGAACAAAUGUGUAAGUAACUAUGCACGUCUUGACGGUACCUAAUCAGAAAGCCACGGCUAACUACGUG
rnacentral:rRNA from 1 species